AAAGGAGGACCCAGGUGAUAUCUGGGGUACAGAUGAAAGAAGCAGAAAAUUUCAUUGAAGUAAAUAUAUGAUAUGAUGAAAGGGUGGAGCUGGAAAACAGGAUGACAGGCAAGGUAUAGAAGGACAGAGAGGGCCCAGGAGGGGUGGAGAGAUCUGCCAGUCUGGGGGGUGGGGAAGGGGCUGUGGGUACCCCUCUUCAUGCUGUCCCCUCCCCCACACUCUAAAACUCUUUGUGACACUUCAAUGCUCUGUAAUGCAGGCCUGGGACUAUAGUCAAAUGACUGCACCCUCAGAGCCCAGUUCCCUCAGGUAGCCUUGUGAUUCAGACAAUGGAGUUCAGACAAGGGACUUUUCUCUCAUUUCUGAAUAGCCCUAUUGAGUCAUGUCUGAGCUUUGGGUCAACAUUCCUGGAUACUCAUUCCAACCUCACCUUCCUAUGUGGGUUGGGGUUGCUCCUUCUGUUCCUGGGCUACCUGGUGGGGAUUCCAACUUUACCAACCUUCUGGAAAACCAAAGACUUCCAAAAGCGUAAGGGCAGAGCCAAGAGGAGAAGGAAAAGUGGAACAUAGAGAGAUUACUCUGUUACCAGUUGUCAAGUUGUGGUUCCCAGACCAGCAGCAUAAGUAUUGCCUGGAACUCAUCAGAAAUGGAAAUCCUUGGCCCUCACCCUGGACCUACUCAGGAAGGAACUCUGGCUGUGGGGUGGGGCUCAGCAAUUUUGCUUCAACAAGCAGCUAAAGGCCAGAAAUGACAGAAAGAUCUGGAGAAAUCUCCAGAGGAGAGGAAGCCAAGGAGGGAAGGAAGCCAAGGACCUGGGCCAUCCACAAACUAGAUCAUUAGCUCCAAGAUAACGGAGAAUAAUUGACUGUGUGAGGCCAGAAAUGAAAAGGCAAAAGAAAUGACAUGUGAGUAACAGCAUUUACAAAGCCUGUCACUGUCACUCCUGCAACAAGUAUUACUGAGCACCUACAGUAUGCCAGGUACUUUCAACAAAGAGGAUGGAUACAGCAAUGAACAACCCAGGCAAGACUGCUACACUC
rnacentral:lncRNA from 1 species